UACGGAGGGUGCAAGCGUUAUCCGGAUUCACUGGGUUUAAAGGGUGCGUAGGCGGGCAGGUAAGUCAGUGGUGAAAUCUCCGGGCUUAACCCGGAAACUGCCGUUGAUACUAUCUGUCUUGAAUAUCGUGGAGGUAAGCGGAAUAUGUCAUGUAGCGGUGAAAUGCUUAGAUAUGACAUAGAACACCUAUUGCGAAGGCAGCUUACUACGCAUAUAUUGACGCUGAGGCACGAAAGCGUGGGGAUCAAACAGG
rnacentral:rRNA from 1 species